UAGAGAUUUCAGACCAGUGGGAAAUGCUAGGAGUCAAAUAGGCGCAAAUUAUAAGCACGCAGGGGGCGCCACAGCGCUAAUAAGUAGCAGUAAAGUUGGGGAUGGUUCCAUUCAUGGAUCCGUUGAGUAUCAGUGCCACUGGUUUAUACUCCACAAGUUGCGGGCGAAGGAAUGAAAGCACAAGGUCAGAUAGGUAUUGUGGGCGAAUUUAACCUUUAAUUAUAGUUUUUUAAUCGUGACACUUAAUUUAUUGUUAAUAUAACACAAAUGAUAUCUACAGCUACACAUAUAACUAAAUAAUAAACUGUACAAUAUUUAGUAAUAGGUACCUACAUUUAGUUUGGAAAGCACAAGAAAGAUGGAGGAAUAAUUGAAAUUACUCUUCUGUCACAAUCCCCAGCUUUUGUUCUGAUUGUCGUGUCUACGUCAAGUAUUUUAUGAAGUAUUAUUAUAUUUUUACUGUUGGUUACAAUAUUGAUCGUAUUAUUCAGCUUUGUCCUUUUUUUUUACAGCAAUGUUGAAUUUGUAUAGACAGUAUACAGACAGACAGACAGAUAUGCAGACACAAUCGACUCCUUGCAGUUCUUAAUAAGCGCCCCGACGUAAUGUCUUUUAGACAAAACAUUGGUGUGAAAAAUUGUGGUAAAAAAAUAGUACAAAAUUAUCAAAAAAUAAUAGCAGCAUCAGAAAGUGAAUCUUGCGUUGUAGGUACUCUAACUUCAUGGAGCUUUUCGAGUAUACUAACUGUAACUGCAAAAAUAGUAUAAACUGAAGACAUUUAGUUAAUAAUCAAACAUUAAAUAUAUUGUUAUUAUGCUUUACUAACAAAAAAUCAGCUACUAAGGUACAAUAAAUAAAAAAUAAAUAUAAUUUGUA